rnacentral:rRNA from 1 species
GACAGAGGGUGCAAACGUUGUUCGGAAUUACUGGGCGUAAAGCGCGUGUAGGCGGCUUGGCAAGUCGGUUGUGAAAUCCCCGGGCUCAACCUGGGAACUGCAUCCGAGACUGCAUUGCUAGAGUAUGGGAGAGGAAAGCGGAAUUUCUGGUGUAGCAGUGAAAUGCGUAGAUAUCAGAAGGAACAUCAGUGGCGAAGGCGGCUUUCUGGACCAAUACUGACGAUCAGGUGCGAAAGCGUGGGGAUCAAACAGG